CGAGCAAANGNCNCNUGAGUGAAGAAGGUUUUCGGAUNGUAAAGCUCUGUUGUAAGAGAAGAACGUUUUUGAGAGUGGAAAGUUCACACAGUGACGGUAACUUACCAGAAAGGGACGGCUGAUUACGUGCCAGCAGCCGCGGUAAUACGUAGGUCCCGAGCGUUGUCCGGAUUUAUUGGGCGUAAAGCGAGCGCAGGCGGUUUGAUAAGUCUGAAGUAAAAGGCUGUGGCUUAACCAUAGUAUGCUUUGGAAACUGUCAAACUUGAGUGCAGAAGGGGAGAGUGGAAUCCCAUGUGUAGCGGUGAAAUGCGUAGAUAUAUGGAGGAACACCGGUGGCGAAAGCGGCUCUCUGGUCUGUAACUGACGCUGAGGCUCGAAAGCGUGGGGAGCAAACAGGAUUAGAUACCCUGGUAGUCCACGCCGUAAACGAUGAGUGCUAGGUGUUGGGUCCUUUCCGGGACUCAGUGCCGUAGCUAACGCAUUAAGCACUCCGCCUGGGGAGUACGACCGCAAGGUUGAAACUCAAAGGAAUUGACGGGGGCCCGCACAAGCGGUGGAGCAUGUGGUUUAAUUCGAAGC
rnacentral:rRNA from 1 species